UGGGGAAUAUUGCACAGUGGAGGGAACUCUGAUGCAGCGACGCCGCGUGAACGAAGAAGGCUUUCGAGUCGUAAAGUUCUUUUAUAUGGGAAGAUAAUGACGGUACCAUAAGAAAAAGCCCCGGCUAACUACGUGCCAGCAGCCGCGGUAAUACGUAGGGGGCUAGCGUUGUCCGGAAUCACUGGGCGUAAAGGGUUCGCAGGCGGAAAUGCAAGACAGGUGUAAAAGGCAGUAGCUUAACUACUGUAAGCAUUUGAAACUGCAUAUCUUGAGAAGAGUAGAGGUAAGUGGAAUUUUUAGUGUAGCGGUGAAAUGCGUAGAUAUUAAAAAGAAUACCGGUGGCGAAGGCGACUUACUGGGCUCAUUCUGACGCUGAGGAACGAAAGCGUGGGUAGCAAACAGG
rnacentral:rRNA from 1 species